rnacentral:rRNA from 1 species
GCGUAAGCGCGCGCAGGUGGUUUCUUAAGUCUGAUGUGAAAGCCCACGGCUCUACCGUGGAGGGUCAUUGGAAACUGGGAGACUUGAGUGCACAAGAGGAAAGUGGAAUUCCAUGUGUAGCGGUGAAAUGCGUAGAGAUAUGGAGGAACACCAGUGGCGAAGGCGACUUUCUGGUCUGUAACUGACACUGAGGCGCGAAAGCGUGGGGAGCAAACAGGAUUAGAUACCCUGGUAGUCCACGCCGUAAACGAUGAGUGCUAAGUGUUAGAGGGUUUCCGCCCUUUAGUGCUGAAGUUAACGCAUUAAGCACUCCGCCUGGGGAGUACGGCCGCAAGGCUGAAACUCAAAGGAAUUGACGGGGGCCCGCACAAGCGGUGGAGCAUGUGGUUUAAUUCGAUUUCUCGCGAAGAACCUUACCAGGUCUUGACAUCCUCUGAAAACCCUAGAGAUAGGGCUUCUCCUUCGGGAGCAGAGUGACAGGUGGUGCAUGGUUGUCGUCAGCUCGUGUCGUGAGAUGUUGGGUUAAGUCCCGCAACGAGCGCAACCCUUGAUCUUAGUUGCCAUCAUUAAGUUGGGCACUCUAAGGUGACUGCCGGUGACAAACCGGAGGAA